GCUAGGGCAAAUAUUCGCGACUCUGGAGAGAAGCUAUGACGGAGUACUGGGUGAGCCAGGGGAACAAAUGGUGCGAGUUUUGCCGGAUUUUCAUUGCAAACAAUGCCGUGAGCAUCCGAUCGCACGAGCUGGGGAUGCGGCACAAGGACAAUGUCGCGAAGAAGGUUUCCAAGAUCCACAAGGACAGCAUUAACAAGGAGAAGGAGGAGCUACGAUCGAUUAAAGAGCUGGAACACAUCGAAUCUAAAGCAGUGAGGAAGUACCAGAAUGACAUUGCCGAUGGCAAUAGUUCUCUGGCGACUCCAACGCUGACGGCCUCCAAGAUUAACGAGUGUACAACAUCUGGAAGCCAACAUACCUACAGUGGCAAGAGCACAGUAGCUCUGCGUUCUCAGAUCGAAGAAGCUAAGCAAGAAUGGUUCAGUGAUUCUGCUACAGGCUACCAGUUCAAUCCAGCUACUGGUCACUACUUCGAUCCGAAGUCUGGUUUUUACUAUAGCGAUGUUCUAGGACAAUGGACAACCGAAGCAGAAGCUCUAAAAGCAGCCAGGCUUUCCAAAUCAUCCGGUGUUACCGUUUCAAAGAAAAACCUUCCUCCCGUGCCUGGCAAACUGGGAUCGUCCAAGCCUCAACCAGCAGCCGACGUGAAGGGGAGGCCCUCGGCAUUCGCGGUCACAGCAGCAGCCGCCAACAACAACAACAACAACAAGAGAAAGAGAGACAACCGGAAGCAAAACUCGACCGAGGAGGCCAGAGCUCAAGCGGAGCGAGAGGCCGCCAGGAAAAGAGUCCAGGAACGUGAGAAAUCUUCGCUGGGAUUGUACCAAGCUUACUGAAACGUCACGGGUUGCGGAAGUGAGAAAAAAGAGGAUGAGUAAAUCGACAGCCAGAAGCAAGCUAUUGCUUCCAAGUUUGUUCCAGGUUGAUGAAAAAUAAGUUCUCGAUUCGAGUUCGCUUAUGCUUAUUUCGUGAUACACGGCUUCCCAGAAUUUGGGAGAACUGCUACGUGGCAGGUGGCGAGUGGUGGAAUCUGGACGGUUACAAUGCCGGCACGUUGCGGAAUAGCCAACGGCUGGGAUCGCCGCUUGACUCGUACGUUUUUCCGUACGCUAAAGAGAAGCUCCCUGCUUUGAUUCCGAGUG